CUAAUGAGACUGCCGGUGACAAACCGGAGGAAAGGUGGGGAUGACGUCAAGUCCUCAUGGCCCUUAUAGUGGGGCUACACACGUCAUACAAUGGAUGGUACAAAGGGUCGCCAACCCGCGAGGGGGAGCCAAUCCCAUAAAGCCAUUCGUAGUCCGGAUCGCAGUCUGCAACUCGACUGCGUGAAGUCGGAAUCGCUAGUAAUCGUGGAUCAGAAUGUCACGGUGAAUACGUUCCCGGGUCUU
rnacentral:rRNA from 1 species